AUUGAACGCUGGCGGCAGGCCUAACACAUGCAAGUCGAGCGAGCGGCGGACGGGGGAGUCAUGUCUGGGAAACUGCCUGAUGGGGGGGGGUAACUACUGGAAACGGUAGCUAAUACCGCAUACCCUCAGAUGUGCCCAGAUGGGAUUAGCUAGUAGGUGGGGUAACGGUUCACCUAGGCGACGAUCCCUAGCUGGUAUGAGAGGUUGACCAGCCACACUGGAACUGAGACACGGUCCAGACUCCUACGGGAGGCAGCAGUGGGGAAUAUUGCACAAUGGGCGCAAGCCUGAGGCAGCCAUGCCGCGUGUGUGAAGAAGGCCUUCGGGUUGUAAAGCACUUUCAGCGGGGAGGCGUUACCCGCAGAAGAAGCACCGGCUAACUCCGUGCCAGCAGCCGCGGUAAUUC
rnacentral:rRNA from 1 species